UGGGGAAUUUUGGACAAUGGGCGCAAGCCUGAUCCAGCAAUGCCGCGUGCAGGAUGAAGGCCUUCGGGUUGUAAACUGCUUUUGUACGGAACGAAAAAGCUCUCUCUAAUACAGGGGGUGAAUGACGGUACCGUAAGAAUAAGCACCGGCUAACUACGUGCCAGCAGCCGCGGUAAUACGUAGGGUGCAAGCGUUAAUCGGAAUUACUGGGCGGAAAGCGUGCGCAGGCGGUUUUGUAAGACAGAGGUGAAAUCCCCGGGCUCAACCUGGGAACUGCCUUUGUGACUUAAAAGCUGGAGUGCGGCAGAGNGGGAUGGAAUUCCGCGUGGAGCAGUGAAAUGCGUAGAUAUGCGGAGGAACACCUAUGGCUAAGGCAAUCCCCCGUGCCUGCACUGACGCUCAUGCACGAAAGCGUGGGGAGCAAACA
rnacentral:rRNA from 1 species